rnacentral:lncRNA from 1 species
CUUUGAUCCUGUAGAGUGUUUGUGGGUUUAGAAGAGCACAGGUCUGAAGACGGAAGACUUGAGUUUCAGCUCCAUCUCUGCCCUGUGCACCAGCAUGCCCAGAGUGGCAUUAACCCAAAGCCAAUCUGACAAAUGAACAAGUCAUUAUAGUUACUGGUUUCUUUGAUCUAUUUAUAAAAAUGAAUAUUUAUAGCAGAUCCUGUAGGAUGCGGUAGAUUUGGAAGAUUUCUGUGAUGUUUUGUUUGACUAAUGCUUAUUUUCCCUUUUGUAUCAGUAUUUUAACAAAUGCUUUGGAUUUCCUCCACGCAGAGGAGAAUCAGUGUGCAGCUGUUAAUUUUGGCUGCUGGGUCCAGGAUGAGAGAGAGAGAGAGACAGCGUGAGAGCGAGAGAGAGAGCGUGAGAGAGAGAGAAGAGAGGCAGGAGAGGCUGAGCGUGGGAGGGAGACAGACGGCAUCGAUUCAUUAAUAUAUUCAAAACUAUAUUCAAAAACUAUUCAUUUAAAAAUUCUGGAAUAUAUUGACUACAUACUUAAAAAAACUUUUUUGUAAUGGAAAACUUUGAGCAUAGGCAAAAAUAGAAUAAUAGAAAAGCCCGGCAUGCGACAUGCAGUGGCAACAGAGGUCCAUAUGUGGCCAGUCUUGUCUCAUCCUUUUCCCCACCCAUUCACUCCUCUCCCAAAUCCGGAUGGUUUUAAGGUGACUUCAGCCAUCGAAUUCAAUCUGGAAGGCUUGGAGACAGUCAAGAAGUGCAUCACCCAAAUGGCCACCGGUACAGACACUCUAACACCGGCGUGACUGAUUCCAUCACAGAGUUCACCCCAUGCAUGGGAGUUAGGGAUUUUGUGACUUGAUAAGCCUUUUGUCCUCCAUAAAACAGGUGUGACAAAGCCUUCCCAAUUGGCCUCCUGGGCAUGGUGAGAAGAACGGGAGGGCACGAACUGGGAGGAGCUAUUGGAUAGGAGAAAGGGUCAAAGGUGACAUGGCUGCAACUGACCUCCAGCUAAUUCACUGCACCUGCUUCAGGACAAGUUCCAACGCUGGGGGUCAGCCUUGAACACAGGGAAAUGGGGGUGGGGCGCAGGCAUCAGGCCAGGGUGAUGGGCCAAUUCACAUUUGUUAUAAAGGAACAAAAACCAGUGAUUUCCUCUGAGAUACAAUCAAGCAAGUUUCCCACAGCAGCUGAUGUCACAG